rnacentral:rRNA from 1 species
AUGAACGCUGGCGGCGUGCCUAAUACAUGCAAGUCGAGCGAACAGACGAGGAGCUUGCUCCUCUGACGUUAGCGGCGGACGGGUUAGUAACACGUGGAUAACCUACCUAUAAGACUGGGAUAACUUCGGGAAACCGGAGCUAAUACCGGAUAAUAUAUUGAACCGCAUGGUUCAAUAGUGAAAGACGGUUUUGCUGUCACUUAUAGAUGGAUCCGCGCCGCAUUAGCUAGUUGGUAAGGUAACGGCUUACCAAGGCAACGAUGCGUAGCCGACCUGAGAGGGUGAUCGGCCACACUGGAACUGAGACACGGUCCAGACUCCUACGGGAGGCAGCAGUAGGGAAUCUUCCGCAAUGGGCGAAAGCCUGACGGAGUAACGCCGCGUGAGUGAUGAAGGUCUUCGGAUCGUAAAACUCUGUUAUUAGGGAAGAACAAAUGUGUAAGUAACUAUGCACGUCUUGACGGUACCUAAUCAGAAAGCCACGGCUAACUACGUG